rnacentral:rRNA from 1 species
UUUUAUGGAGAGUUUGAUCCUGGCUCAGGAUGAACGCUGGCGGCGUGCCUAAUACAUGCAAGUCGAGCGAACGGAUGAGAAGCUUGCUUCUCUGAUGUUAGCGGCGGACGGGUGAGUAACACGUGGAUAACCUACCUAUAAGACUGGGACAACUUCGGGAAACCGGAGCUAAUACCGGAUAAUAUUUUGAACCGCAUGGUUCAAAAGUGAAAGACGGUCUUGCUGUCACUUAUAGAUGGAUCCGCGCUGCAUUAGCUAGUUGGUAAGGUAACGGCUU